GAAAGGAGUUAGCACAUAAAACUAGAAUACAGUAGAAUUCACUAUAACACUAUGAGAUAAGCAACAAAAUUAUCCAAAUACAUUUUUCAACUUAUUUGCACAAGCAAGCAUAAAAUAGCAGCAUUUUAUCUUUUUUUAAUUGAUAAAUAUAAAAAAGUUUCUCGUCAUUUAUAAGAAGAGGACACCAGGACUCACGUGUCUGGUAACUAUAGAAAUAAAGAGGUAUAACUUGACCAUUCCUUCAGUGAAAUUAACAAACCAGAGGAAAAAGUGUGAACAAAAUAACAAUGAGCACUGCCAUAUGUGAGGGGGAAAUGCUGAUCAAAGCAAAAAUUGAAAACAGCAACAUGCAAAUGCUCCUUCAGAUGGGGGGACCCAAAAACCCAGGGGGAAAGAAAUAUAGCAGUAUUGACUAUGAGAAUAUAUUCAUUAUUGAAAUAGAGAGAGAUAAUAGACAAAUAGACAGACAGACAGACAGAUAGACAGACAGAUAGAAGCAUACUAAAUAAGAAAAACCACUCAGAGAACAGGAUUUGGAAGAAGCAGAAAAAGUUGAGAUGGCUGGUAAAAACUUGAAAGAAUAGAAUGAGAAAUAAGCAUACUAGAGGAAGUAUAGAAGUGAUAGAACAAAGUACAGAAAAAUGACUGAGACAACAUGAACAUGUGCAACAGAGAUCUAAGGAAGCCCUAGUUGAUGAUGGUUUAAAUACGCGUUGAAGGGUCCUAACUCAAAAUAGAGGUGACAGGAUACUAGAAUGAACAGAUUGUAAUAAAGACAAAGUAAUUUCAUAUAGUUGGGAAAAAGCUUGAUGGCUGUGGUUACAGUUUUGUUUGUAAAUUAUGGGGAGAAAGAGAGACUGGGGUGUGGGAGGGCUUAAGCUACAAACCUACCAGCACAGGUUACAUGAUUGGCCAUAUAAAGUGAGAACCCAUGUUUUUAAUCAAAUUGCAUAAUUUCUGAAGUUGUAAGACCCUAAAAACCAAAAAAUCAAAUAUCAUAGCAGUCUCUCUAGCUAGUGUUGGGUGGUCACAGAACAAACGAUUUCAACAAGAAGUGAUAUUCUUUGCAUGAAAAUCACCCAAAUAAUUAUGACCCACACAUCUUGCAAAUAUAAAACAAAAGUGAGCUACCAAAUACUUCUAACCUGAAAAGUGAACUUAAAAUUGAAAUCUAGUCAUUUUGUGACCAGUCAUUGCAUAUGUAAGAAACCUGUGACAACAUUAUAUUUUGGUUUUAGGCAUGUAGAUUGGGCAAUGAUAUAGAUGAUAGUUAUUGCAUGUAGUGUGUACUGCACAGUGCAUGUAGGUUGUAGGGUAUUCUAUUGCUUGGAUCACUAACCAUUUUCUUUCAUGAUGCUACUUUGAAAACUUUGAAAAGUCCACAGAACAUGAGGAAAAAGCCCAAACCUAAUCUCCUUGACCUUCUUGCUCACCCUCACUCUCCCUCUUCCUCAGCAAAAUAUACUGGCAUCUCUCCCUCUUUAUUUCGUUCUUACUCUCCUAUUAAAAGCUGCAGCAGCAGCAGCCUACCAGUAUGUGAUGUUACAACAAGAUUUAAGAAAAAGUAUGGAUUAAGAGAUUAAAUUUGUCUUAUGGAGAGCUAGUAAGAAAUAAUGGAAUCUGGUAAUAGAAUCUGGAGACUUUGGAUGUAAUAGCAGAGAUAAUUUAAUGAGAAUUAAAGAAAUAAAAAAUAUCAUUUAAAUAAAAAAAGGAUGAAAUUGAGAUCAAAGUGAAAAAAAUAAAAAUCAUUGCUGGAGACGUUUUCCAUAAGGUACAAUUGGAGGAGCUAGGAAGCUUGUAUAAGAAUGUGAGCUUUCUAAGCAUGUUAUUUUAACUGGGUUUGUUUUAUUUUAAAUUGGUUUUCUUUGCCAACACAAUAGAUGAUAUUGUAAAAAUGCUUGCACUUCCACCAUGACUAUUGGUUAUUAGAUAAAUCUCUCUAAAAGAAUUUUCAAAUAUAUCAGUUUAGCAAACAGGACAUCUGAGAUUUGAGACAUUAACAUGUCUCCAUGGAAGCGGAUUUGGAGAUCUUGAAAGAGAUCUUGAAAAGAAUAGCUGCAGUGUUUCCAAUCAACAACAUCUUUUGUUCUCUGCAUACCCUUCAGGAAUUUUCUCUUUUCAAAAUAUAUGUCACUCUAGCUGGACUAAGAUUUACCUCUACUACAGAAAGUCAACUUCAUAUCCAACAAGGACAUCUACGAGCUUGCCAAGAACACGGUAUGGCAUUAAGGCAAUAGACCAUAUUUUUUGUCAAAAACAUGCUCAUUAUUCUUCAAUAAUGUGUUAAAUGCAUUCUUUAUUUACACCAAUCCACAUUGACAAUUAUCAGUAUUAUCUAUUGGUCUAUUUAUUUAAAAUAAGCUAAGUAUGUUAUUCAUUAAUCAUUAUUCAUUCGUUAAAUGGCUUUGAUUCUUAAUAGAUAACAAAUGUUUUAAUUCUUAAUAGAUAACAAAGAUAGUUUAUCAAUGUUCAAUAAAAGAUGUUCAAUGUUUAAAUUCUUAUAAAAAACAUGUUAAAUAGAAACAAAAAAGCUUUGCUUAGAUCAAAUAGUUAAACAUGACAAUUCAAGCAUUUAAAUCAAUAAAUUAAACAUCAUUUUCAGAUAAUUUGGCAUUGAAACAUUGAAAGGCAAAGAGGCAUAUUGGAGGUCAAAAUAUGUCUAACCAAGGGUUAUGCCGGCCAAUACAGUCUUUGAUGCAAUACAUGGAACACAACAUACAAUACUG
rnacentral:lncRNA from 1 species